AUUGAACGCUGGCGGCAGGCCUAACACAUGCAAGUCGAACGGUAACAGGAAGCAGCUUGCUGCUUCGCUGCCGCGUGGCGGACGGGUGAGUAAUGUCUGGGAAACUGCCUGAUGGAGGGGGAUAACGACUGGGAACGGUAGCUAAUACCGCAUAACGUCGCAAGACCAAUUAGGGGGACCUAGCGGCCUCUUGCCAUCGGAUGUGCCCAGAUGGGAUUAGCUAGUAGGUGGGGUAACGGCUCACCUAGGCGACGAUCCCUAGGUGGUCUGAGAGGAUGACCAGCCACACUAGAACGGAGCCACGGUCCAGACUCGUACGGGAGGCAGCAGUGGGGAAUAUUGCACAAUGGGCGGAAGCAUGAUGCAGCCCUGCCGCGUGUAUGAAGAAGGCCUUCGGGUUGUAAAGUACUUUCAGCGGGGAGGAAGGGAGUAAAGUGAAUACCUUCGCUCAUUGACGUUACCUGCAGAAGAAGCACCGGCUAACUCCGUG
rnacentral:rRNA from 1 species